CAGCACCCGCUCACCUGUUUUGGUGCCCCAAUGUAUGAUUGAACGCCCAUAUGUCUGCACCCCUGCAUUGGACGAUGCCUUGCGCUGGCGGAGACUCUCUCAGCUUAAAAUUUUCAGUGUUUUUGGUGGAGUGUAGGGGUGAGCGUUCGAUCGAAUCGAAUCGAAUGAAAAAAUUUCAAGUUAAUCGAGUUGCUGAAUCCUAUUUUAUCAUCCUAACUCGAUUUGAAAUUUUCUCAAAUCGAGUCGAGUGAGAUAGAAUUUGAAUCAAAUCAAAUAUAUUUGUUCGAGUUAAAUCUUUAAAAAAAUGAUUUUGAGUCCUUGUAAUCAUUGUCACCCAACGUAAUCAAGUUUGUCCACCGUAAUCAAAUAUGUUAUUAACUUUCAUCCCC
rnacentral:lncRNA from 1 species